CGGACGGGUGAGUAAUGUCUGGGAAACUGCCCGAUGGAGGGGGAUAACUACUAGAAACGGUAGCUAAUACCGCAUAACGUCGCAAGACCAAAGAGGGGGACCUUCGGGCCUCUUGCCAUCGGAUGUGCCCAGAUGGGAUUAGCUAGUAGGUGGGGUAACGGCUCACCUAGGCGACGAUCCCUAGCUGGUCUGAGAGGAUGACCAGCCACACUGGAACUGAGACACGGUCCAG
rnacentral:rRNA from 1 species